rnacentral:rRNA from 1 species
AUUGAACGCUGGCGGCAGGCCUAACACAUGCAAGUCGAACGAGUGGCGGACGGGUGAGUAAUGUCUGGGAAACUGCCCGAUGGAGGGGGAUAACUACUGGAAACGGUAGCUAAUACCGCAUACCAUCCUCUGUUCCCAGAUGUGAUUAGCUAGUAGGUCGGGUAACGGCUCACCUAGGAGACGAUCCCUAGCUGGUCUGAGAGGGUGACCAGCCACACUGGAACUGAGACACGGUCCAGACUCCUACGGGAGGCAGCAGUAGGGAAUAUUGCACAAUGGGCGCAAGCCUGAUGGAGCAAUGCCGCGUGAGUGAAGAAGGCCUUCGGGUUGUAAAGUACUUUCAGCGGGGAAGCGGUACUCGAAGAAGAAGCACCGGCUAACUCCGUGCCAGCAGCCGCGGUAAUUC